GUCCACGCCGUAAACGAUGGGCACUAGGUGCUUGGGGGAGCGACCCUCUGAGUGCCAUCGCUAACGCAGUAAGUGCCCCGCCUGGGGAGUACGGCCGCAAGGCUGAAACUCAAAGGAAUUGACGGGGGCCCGCACAAGCGGUGGAGCAUGUGGUUCAAUUCGACGCAACGCGAAGAACCUUACCUGCGCUUGACAUACACACGAAAGCCUUCAGAGACGGGGGCCCUCUUCGGAGCGUGUGCACAGAUGCUGCAUGGCUGUCGU
rnacentral:rRNA from 1 species